GACGAACGCUGGCGGCGUGCCUAAUACAUGCAAGUCGAGCGCUGAAGCUUGGUACUUGUGCCAACUGGAUGAGCAGCGAACGGGUGAGUAACGCGUGGGGAAUCUGCCUUUGAGCGGGGGACAACAUUUGGAAACGAAUGCUAAUACCGCAUAAAAACUUUAAACACAAGGUUUAAGUGUGAAAGAUGCAAUUGCAUCACUCAAAGAUGGUCCCGCGUUGUGUUAGCUAGUUGGUGAGGUAAAGGCUCACCAAGGCGAUGAUACAUAGCCGGACUGAGAGGGUGGACAGCCAACAUGGGACUGGGACCCGGCCCAAAAUCCUAAGGGAAGGAGCCGGAGGGAAACUUCGGGAAUGGGCGAAAAUCUGACCGAACAAAGCCGCGUGAGUGGAGAAAGGUUUCGGGUCGUGAAACUCUGUUGGUAGGGAAGAAAGUUGGUGAGAGUGAAAAGCUCAUCAAGUGACGGUAACUACCCAGAAAGCGACGGCUAACUACGUG
rnacentral:rRNA from 1 species